rnacentral:lncRNA from 1 species
AUGAAAGCUAUAAGGAAAAAAGUGAUAGGUGAUUAACAUUUAAAGAUAAUUAUACUUUAUUAAAGUUUCGUUAAGAAAUUUCAAAGUUCUUGCUCCCAAGAGUGCUUGGUUGAGAAACCCUAGAGAUAGCAGUAACUACUGUGGCUGGGGAUGGAAGCAAGCGGUGGCGACGAUAGAGAGGAAGGGGAUGAGAUCGGUCUUCUUGCUGAAGAAUUAGUUCAACUAUCAGUCAAAGGAUCGUUGAUGGUACCAAGUUCCAAACCUACAUUGAUUUGUACGGUUUGGACGGGGAAAUUAUAUAACCCAGAUAGUUUUAGGGCUCAUAUGAAAAGUUUAUGGAAGACAAGAAAAAAGUUUGAAAUCAGAUUGGUGGGACAAAACUUAUUUCUAAUAAUUUUUGAGAUGGUAGAAGAUCUGGAGUUGAUUUUGGAGGGGAGACCUUGGCUCUUUCAUAAAAACUUAAUUUUAUUUGACAGGUUACACCAAGCGGUGGAAAGAGAUCAGAUAAAGUUAACUUCAUCCCCGUUUUGGAUAAAAAUUGAGUCGUGUUUCCCAGAGUUCGACAAGAAAUAUCUAUUGCAUGCCAUUGGUUCUACGUUUGGUGGGGUCCUCAGAUCUGAAAUUAGUGAAGAUUUCUGCCGACUCAGAGUUAAUUUGGAUGUUCAAAUAACACUUAGAAGAGGUAUUUUUGUUUCUAAUGCUUAUGUUAGUAAAGUUUGGAUACCCUUCAAGUAUGAAAACUUGCCAAUAUUCUAUUUUGAAUGCGGAAGAAUGGGGCAUGGGAUGAGUAAUUGCACCCAGCUAUUACCUGCAAGAAAAAAUAAAAUCAGUGAAAAUCCUCCUUAUUCUGUGGCCUUAAAAGCAGAAUCAAGAUUAAUUGGAAAAUAAAGUGAGAAAUUUAAUAGUUUGAAGAAACAGAUGGGGGUUCAGAGUUCUUAUAUCGGAGAAGAGAGAAUUUCACCCAAUAGUAUUAAAUGUGCUGAGAAAGGAAGCAAUGAAGAGGGGGCCCGCAGGAGAAUUUGAAAUUAAAAGAAGGGGAGGAGAUGCCAGAAGAACAGGAAGGUAUUUUGGAGGUAGAAGAAGCUGAGAAGGUGAAUUUAAAGGAAAUGGGGAAGAUGCUAAAAGAAUAUGCAGGUAUUUGGAGACAAGGGGAAGCUGAGAAGGUGAGUAAUUGUAAUAGAGAGAAAAGCCAAAAUCCAAAUCAAGAGAAACAAGAAAAAUGGAUAAGCAUUCAACAUGGCACAACAACGACAAAAGCUGGAAAUAAUACGAGGAAGAUGAAGCCCAUUGAUGCAGAUUUUACCAGUGAUCAUACAGGAAAAUGAGACAGAGAUGGAAUUAAAAGGUUGAAAUAGGAUACUUCAGACUACUACAAAGGCCCUGUGGAAAUGGUGACAGACACUAAUGAGCAAAUUGAAGUUCAAGAUUUAUUGAUAUCGGCGGCUGCUAAUAGGCAAGCCGACCGGACGCAAUGAAAACCAUCAGCUGGAAUGUUCGUGGAUUGGGGAGUCCACGAGCUGGAAGAAGGCAUCAUUACUUCCUCAAGCAGCACAAUCCCCAAAUGGUCUUCUUAAUGGAGACCAAAGUUGAUAGACAGAGGAUGGAAAAAAUCAGACAGAGAUGCGGUUUUAUGAAUGGUAUUGAUAUAGAAGCACAAGGUUCGAAAGGAGGAUUAUGCUUAGCAUGGAAAUGUGACACCAAAGUAAGUUUACGAAGUUUUUUUAGGAAUCACAUUGAUGUUCUGGUUGAAGAGGAACAGGGUAACAAAGAGUGGAGAUUUACAGGUUUCUAUGGCUCUCCAUAUGUCCACAAUAAGAGUGAUUCGUGGGAUUUACUGAUAAAUCUGAGGCAAGAUAACAGCCACCCAUGAUUGGUAAGUGGUGACUUCAAUGAGAUCAUGUAUUAUUUUGAGAAAUGUGGGGGUGCCCCAAGGGAAGAGACCAGAAUGAAGGUAUUUUGAGAGGUCUUAGAGAAUUGCCAUUUAGAAGAUUUGGGUUUUUCGGGAGUAUGGUUUACAUGGGAAAGGGGAAAUUUACCAGAGACAAAUAUUAGAGAAAGACUUGAUAGGGGGUGGUAAAUGAUAAAUGGAGGCUCCUUUUCCCAGCAGGUAGAGUUAACCAUCUACCCCACACAAUGUCAGACCACUGCCCACUUCUAAUUAACACAGAUGGCGAAAGCAUUUAUAAUGGCAAUUCAAAAUUUAAAUUUGAAGCGUGGUGGUUGAUGGAGGAUACUUGUGAAAAAAUAAUUAAAGAAUCUUGGGAGUCAGGAACAGGCCCAGUAGCUGAGAAACUUGGAAAGUUGCAAGCAGAUUUAUUAGAUUGGGCGAGAAGGAUUAAGAAAGGUCGGGAGGGGCUAAAGAAAAAGUUAACGAAGCAGCUGGAAGUGUUAAUGGGGAAAGAAAGGAAUGACAACACAAUGGCAGACAUUGUAAACACUAAGGUCCACCUAAAUAUGGAAAUUGAUAAGGAUGAAAUAUAUUGGGAACAAAGAGCAAGGGCAAAUUGGCUGAAAGUGGGUGAUAAAAAUACAGUUUUUUUCACAGGUUUACUACUUCUAGAAGACGUAUAAAUUCAAUAUCCAAAUUGGAGAAAUCUGUGGGCGGAGAAGCAACUGAGGAGAGUGAGAUUAAUGAUGUGGCCACCUCCUAUUUUCAGGAACUUUUCACGACAAAAGGAAGGGCGGAAUGUUCAUAUCUCCUAUCGUGAAUAAAGGAAAAUAUUUCAUCUGAUAUCAAUAGAGAGCUAAUGUUAACCUUUACAGCAGAAGAAUUGUAUGCGGCAUUAAAGGAAAUGGGACCAACAAAAGCUCCAGGAUAUGAUAGUUUUCCAGCCAUUUUCUUUCAGAAAUUCUGGCAUAUCGUAGGUAAGGAAAUAACCAAUCUUUGCUUGGAAUUUUUAAAUAACGGUGCAAGUUUUGGUAAUUUAAAUCACACCGACAUUGUGCUGAUCCCAAAAAUUCCAAAUCCUACUAGCAUAGUUAAUUUCAGACCUAUCAGUUUAUGUUUAGUAAUCUACAAAAUGGUGGCAAAAAUAAUUGCAACUCGACUACAAGCAGUUAUUAGAAGAUGCAUUGAUGCUGCUCAAAGUGCGUUCGUCCCGGGAAGGCUAAUAACAGACAAUGUGAUACUAGCUUAUGAGAUCUUACAUACUUUUCGGCAAAAGCGCACAGGAAAAAAAGGAUACAUGGCAGUUAAACUUGACAUGAGCAAAGCCUAUGAUAGGGUUGAGUGGGGAUUCUUGAAGGAAGUGAUGUUACGAAUGGGCUUCACACCAGAGUGGGUUAAGCUGAUUAUGACUUGUGUUUCCACAACAUCCUAUGCAGUUAAUACAAAUGGUAGAAGUGGAAGAGUUUUUUCACCGUCUCGAGGCUUACGUCAAGGAGAUCCGCUGAGCCCCUUUCUUUUUCUGAUUUGUAGUGAGGGGUUAUCAUCUUUAAUGAGAUUGGCUUCAGAAAAGGGACUGAUAAAGGGUGCAAAAGCAAGCAGAAGAGGACCAGAAAUUUCACAUCUACUCUUUGCAGAUGAUUGUAUGUUGUUUGGGGAAGCAUCUGAUAGGGGUGCCAGUAUACUAAAAGAAAUUUUGAAGGAAUAUGAAAAGUGUUCUGGACAGUGCGUUAAUUUCAACAAGUCUACCAUAUUUUUCAGCACCAAUACGUCAGAAGAAAAAAUGAAUGAAGUUUCGGCAAAAUUGGGGGUUAGGAUCUCAACAAACUUAGAAUGAUAUCUAGGGCUUCCAAACAUGGUUGGUCGACGAAAGAAAGAAUCCUUUCAGCAUUUAAAAGAAAAGAUUGCUACCAGGAUUGAUGGGUGGAGUACUAGAAUGUUAUCUCAAUGAGGUAAAGAAGUCUUUAUUAAAUCGGUGUUACAGGCCAUUCCAACGUACGCUAUGUCAUGCUUCUUAUUACCAAAGACUGUUUGUGGAGAAUUUGAAAAUAUUUUUGCUAAAUUUUGAUGGCAAAAAACGCAUGGUAGGAGAGGUAUUCAUGGGUGUCAGUGGAAGUACUUAUGCCGUCCUAAAGAAGAGGGUGGAUUGGGCUUUAGAAAUAUGGCUCAAUUUAAUGUUUCACUUUUAGCUAAGCAAGGAUGACGUAUUAUAAACAAUCCAAAUUCUUUAGUUGCGCAAGUAUUAAAAGCGAAAUAUUUUCCAAGUGUUGAUUUUUUAAACUCACAGUUGGGGAAUAAUAUACCGUAUACAUGGAAAAGUAUUUGGGCUGCUAAGGGCAUCCUAGCAGAGGGCUUAUGUUGGAAGGUGGGACGAGGUACAAAAAAUUUAAUCAGUCGUGAUUAUUGGAUUCCAGUUUUAUCGCGUGAUAGAUUACCAGUUUUAAGUUCAAAUUUGAAUGAUAGUAAAGUUGCAGAGCUAAUUGAUUCAAGUAGUAGAACAUGGAAACAAGAGUUGGUAGAGCAUACCUUUCCGGAGGAUGUAACAGAGAAGAUCCUCAGUAUCCCACUAGCUGAAACACCGCAUGAAGAUUUCCAAGUUUGGAGCGUUGAAGCAACGGGUGAGUUCACAACACGGAGCGCCUAUAAACUAUUACAAAGCAUUGAAAAUAACCCUGAAGCUUAUGCUUUACAAAAUGACUACAAGGACUUCUACAGAAAACUAUGGCUACUUGAUCUUCCUUCAAAAAUUAAAAUUACAGUUUGGAAUAUAUCUUGGAAUUUUCUAGCUACGCAAGCUAAUAUGCUACUUAGAAGACUGACGAACACGUCAGUAUGUCCUCGCUGUAGUUCAGGAACUGAAACUAUGGACCAUCUCUUCCGGGAAUGUCCUGCUACAAUAGCAGUAUGGAGAGAGUUAUCUUUUCAUAGGUUUUUGCAAGACAAUCAAAUAGGGUUUCUACAGUGGCUAACCUGGGUUUUCUCACAAAGCUCGACUCCUCAGCAUCGAAUCUUUUGUGUUGCAGUAUGGGCCAUCUGGGGAGACAGGAACAAUAGAUUGCAUAAAAAAGAUGGUAAAUCUGGAAAAGAAGUAGGGAGAUUUGUUCAUAGCUAUAUUUUAGAUCUUGAUGCAGUUGGUAAAAAUAGGUUGCAAUCUUCCAUAUCUGUAAAAAUAUGGACAAAGCCAGUGGACAAGGUAGUCAAAAUCAAUUUCGAUGCAGCAUACGACGGUAGACAAAGUAAAGCGGCUAUUGGGGUUGUGGCCCGCGAUAAGGAGGGUUCAGUUCUUCUAUCAUGUACAGAGGUUCAUCAAAGAGUUCCCUCAGCCUUUGGGGCGGAAGCAAUAGCGUGUCGAAAAGCCCUCCAGAUCGGCGUUAACAUGCAGUGGGAAAAAGUUAUUAUUGAAGGGGAUUCUUUAUCAAUAAUAAGAAAAUGUAAAACAAAAAGCCCCAAUAAAUCAUUAAUUAGUGCGUAUUUACAUGAUAUUCAUCAACUUCUGCUUAAAUUCAAGGAGUGUAGGUUUGAGCAUAUCCCAAGAUUAGCAAACAACCUUGCGCAUAUAUUAGCAAAUGAAGCGCUGAAGAGUAGUAGAGGAGCCUACCUGAUCGGACGAGUCCCUGAAGCGGCAGAAAUCCAAGCAGAAACUGAGAGGGCAAAAGAACCAGAUUGAAUGAAGAAAGCGAUAAAUGAAGGGAUGAGAGUAUAGAGAAGGGCAGACAUCAAAGUUAUUUCAGCAGCCCUAGAGUAAUCUCAAGCGUCUUGGAAGAGUAAAUAAAAUUGAAGAGAUAAGACGUUUGUAGUCUUUU